ACGCCCGUCGCUUCAUCGAAGUUGGUUUUAGGCGAGGUGGUGCGAUAUUGGCAUUAUCGAACCUGAGAUCAGCAACGAGGGAG
rnacentral:rRNA from 1 species